GUGAAUCAUCGAGUCUUUGAACGCACCUUGCGCCCUUUGGUAUUCCGAAGGGCAUGCCUGUUUGAGUGUCAUUAAAUUCUCAACUUUCAAAAUGCUUUGAAAGCUUGGACUUUGGAGGACUUUGCCGGCAAUUCACUUGUCAGCUCCUCUUAAAUGCAUUAGCGGAACUUUAUUAAGGACCAGCUUUGGUUUGAUAAUCCUAUCUAUGCCGUCGCUGUGGACUUUAGCCUGUUCAGCUUCUAAUGGUCUUCGGACUGUCUCUUUACGUAGGCAUACACUUUUAAGCUUGACCUCAAAUCAGGUAGGACUACCCGCUGAACUUAAGCAUAUCAAUAAGGCGAGG
rnacentral:rRNA from 1 species